GGGGACAGGAAGGAAGCCAAGUCCCACACUGCAUCCCACCAGUGCCAGGAGAUGCCCUGCGUGCUCCUUCCUCCAGAGCUGGCAAUUCAGACCUCCAACAAAAACUCAACCCAACCUUGUUUUGAAAGAAAUGCUGGGUUCUAAAUAUAUGCAUCCUGGGGUUUACAUUUGGAGAGCACUUGCUGCAUGUCUACAGCUUGAAGCUUGGAGUGUAAAAAUAGCACGAGAGCCAAGAUUGGUGUGAGAGACUCCAGGAGGAGAGGCGGGCACAGCACAUGCCAGCUCACAUGGAACCACUUGUCCCCACACAGGGGGCACAGCCCAGCCCCGAAAUGCUGUGGGGCUGCUGAUCCAUGGGGAUCCUGCACUGGGGGCUGAGGAUAAGGAGUAAAGAAGAAAAUAGAGGAUUCCCGGCUCCAAUUUUUGUGGGAAGGUUGUUCCCGGCGUGCCGGCCGCAGUGACGCCAUGCUGAGGGCAGCCCUGGCACACUGGGCCUGGGGGUGCCCCUCAAUGGCCCAGGGGAAGGUGGGCACAUCCUCUCCUUGUGUGGCUGCUCUUCCCUCUUCCCGAUGGACACCCCAGGGACUGUGGCACCUCAGAGGCCUCCUGGAGCCACCUGCCAGGGCAGAGAAUGGUGUGCAAGUGAGAACACUGCUUUGGGAAAAGCUGGGAACGCAAGGAGCCUGCUGGGAUGGAGCCUCUGCACUCAGACUACCUGCAAAACACAGCCACCCUCUGAAGCUGUAAAUACAGCCAUUACACUGACUGACAGCCCAUCCUCCAAAGUUUUCAUGCAAAACACCUUUGUGUUUUCUGGGGAAUGCUGCAGGGAUAUGGCCCUUGUGUUUUGGAGUAUCAGUGCACCCAGAGGAAUAAGGUGUCCUGGAGCUGCAGCAGUGUGUUGGGUAAUUCAUGGCAAGUUUUCAGAUGGUUGAGAAAUUUUCUUGGUGUGGGUGUCAAAUUGGGGUGGUGGUGACUUGGCUUCUCCUUUCAAGAUGAAAAUGCAGUAAAACAAUUAAAAAUCCCUUUUGUUUUGGUCCCUCCA